GGCCCUAUCGUCUAACGGUUAGGACACAAGGUUCUCAAUCUUGUAACCGGAGUUCGAUUCUCCGUAGGGUCACAA
rnacentral:tRNA from 1 species